UUCCAGACUCCUACGGGAGGCAGCAGUGAGGAAUAUUGGUCAAUGGGCGCAAGCCUGAACCAGCCAAGUCGCGUGAGGGAUGACGGUCCUAUGGAUUGUAAACCUCUUUUGUCGGGGAGCAAGGCCCGCCACGUGUGGCGGGAAGGAGAGUACCCGAAGAAAAAGCAUCGGCUAACUCCGUGCCAGCAGCCGCGGUAAUACGGAGGAUGCGAGCGUUAUCCGGAUUUAUUGGGUUUAAAGGGAGCGUAGGCCGGUCUUUAAGCGUGCCGUGAAAUUUUGUGGCUCAACCAUGAGAGUGCGGCGCGAACUGGAGACCUUGAGUGCGCGGAAGGCAGGCGGAAUUCGUGGUGUAGCGGUGAAAUGCUUAGAUAUCACGCAGAACUCCGAUUGCGAAGGCAGCAUACCGGCGCGCAACUGACGCUCAUGCACGAAAGCGUGGGUAUCGAACAGGAUUAGAUACCCGCGUAGUG
rnacentral:rRNA from 1 species